AACGAACGCUGGCGGCAGGCUUAACACAUGCAAGUCGAACGCCCCGCAAGGGGAGUGGCAGACGGGUGAGUAACGCGUGGGAACAUACCCUUUCCUGCGGAAUAGCUCUGGGAAACUGGAAUUAAUACCGCAUACGCCCUACGGGGGAAAGAUUUAUCGGGGAAGGAUUGGCCCGCGUUGGAUUAGCUAGUUGGUGGGGUAAAGGCCUACCAAGGCGACGAUCCAUAGCUGGUCUGAGAGGAUGAUCAGCCACAUUGGGACUGAGACACGGCCCAAACUCCUACGGGAGGCAGCAGUGGGGAAUAUUGGACAAUGGGCGCAAGCCUGAUCCAGCCAUGCCGCGUGAGUGAUGAAGGCCUUAGGGUUGUAAAGCUCUUUCGCCGACGAAGAUAAUGACGGUACCCGGAGAAGAAGCCCCGGCUAACUUCGUGCCAGCCGCCGCAGUAAUAC
rnacentral:rRNA from 1 species